GCUCUGCAUGUACUAUGCACAACUUUGAGAACAUAGCCCUGAAUGUGAGCCACUCUUGUGGUCUGCUUGUUGGCUGCAUAAUAUAAGCAUUAGGAGAGUGUGAGGAAGCAAAGGGUCAGAAAUCAAUUCUGCACUCAGAUGGCUCGGGGGACUUCAUUUCUCUGAAAGACGGGACAGAAGCAGUGCAAGCCAUCGCAGAGCCAACGUGUACGCAGAAGAGCGGGUGCUGGAGAUGUAGGGUGAUUUGAAUGAUUUCUCUAUUGUCUGGGCCAUCUUCUGUGCAUGCCGAGAAGAAAAGAGGCUUGAGAAGUGGCAGGCAGGUGAAGAUGGCAUGACCGAACUCUGAAGGCACGAAAAUCAAGAUGAAAUGCGUGGCUUGGGUUCACAGCUUAAGGAAAACAUAAAACUGCUUCACACAGAACAUUUUCCUGAAGAAUGUUCUCCUACAGCAAACUGCAAAAGCUGUUUAGCUUGGAGGGGCACAUCUUCCCUCUUAGAUGAGCCAACUUUUGGUAAUAGUUGGUAACUGGCCUACUGUGCUUUUAUUUGUGAAAUAAAUCUCUUUUGAUUCAUCAAGGUAGUAAA